GCAGUAUCUUGUGUAUCUCCUGAUCAGCAGAUGCCUAUAAUGAAGAGGGCCUGUUGGCUCUAUUACUUCCUGGCUUCUGGAGACCUAAGGCAGACAUUGCUCUGUUCCUUGCAUGCUGCUCCCAUUUUUAGGGUUAUCGUUACUACAAAGUCCAGAAAUUAUAGGACUGGUUUUCAUCCUCAGUGAUCUUUGCAGCAAGUACUUCUGCCUAUGAAAAUACAGCAUGCAGAACCUGGUUUCAUCACUAUCUGCAUUAAAGAAGAAGGUGGGUGCCAUCUCCCAGCAGUCCCAUACUCCUUUCUUAAGGACCUUUCUCACCACUUUGGCAUACGGGCUUUGCUGGUCUACACCAAAUGUUUCAGACCUUUGCAUCCCUCACUUGCUCCAGAACAGGCUUUAUGCUGAGAAUGGUUUCUCAUUGGCACUUGGGUAGGAAGUGAAGAGCACAAAUGGGAAAAUUAUCCAUGUCAGAAACAUUUAAUAUUGCAUAAAGCUGGCCCGUGAGGAAUGCUGCCUUUUACUCUUUGAUGUCCUGGGAACUCUGACUCAACCUCCUGCAUCCACAGCUUAUAAACCUCCACAGUGUAUUACCAAAUGACUUCGGCACAAAUUUAGGACAGAAAAGCCCACUUAAUAUAACCUUCUUUAUAAAUGUGGUUCUACGUUCUUCCCUCCUGUAGCUGCCACUGUGUAGUAGGAGGCAAUGCAACACCACUGUAGAGGGGAGGAGGGAGGUAAAUGUGACCACCUAAUAGGCAUUUCACAGCACUCACUCUCUGAGCUAAUUUGUGCUCUCCUGCAGCCUCCCUGCAGGGAUUAAACAUUAGCCAAGAACCACAGGAAGGCUCUGAUCAGACUACACAGCCUAACAAGCUGAUGGGCUUCGGUGUGGUACAGCAACUGAUUCUGUGCUUGGUAUUCCAGAUAGCUGCAUUUCAGCCACUGCUACAAAGACUCUGCACCAUAUAAGUAGGUAGGAAUGAUAACCAAGUGAGUCUGGAGCAAGGAAAUUAAAGUCUCGUCUCUGGCAUUGAUGAAAACUUGUUUCUCGGACAAGAUGCUUCACCUUUGAAUGCUUCAGUUCUGCUGUCUGCAGAAAGUUCCGGGAAAGAAAAAGAAGAGUAAAAGAAUACUGAAUGUCUUCCUCCCCUGAAAAAUAAUGGGGAAGUGUACAAAAUCAGGAACCAAUGUGGACAGACCAAAUGGGCUAGAUGGGACUACUGUGAAGGAACUCCAGUCCUCAUUUGAGCAUCGCAUUUAUUUGCCUGUACUUUGGAAGGAUCAAGGUCCAGCUGUGUUGUGAAAUGUCUGAUGUUGCACUAUCUCCCUGAGCAGCACCCUGCUCUCAUGGGUAGUCCAUUAAAGGUUAUUUCAAGUCAGCUUCACUGCACAUUGGUGUGUCACAGUGGGUUGAAAUGCAGGAGAACUGAUUUUCUAGACUCCCCACUGUCUUACAUUCAUGUAGUCAAAACUUGCAGCAAGUCCACAAGGUGUGUAAGAUCCUGGCUGGCACAUUUGGAAGUGUCAGGCUCCCUGUCUGCAUGAUUUAAAGGCAAUGGAGGACUAGGCCAGUGGCAACAACAAUUAUAAGCCAAAUGUCUGCAUAAGCAAAUAUUGGACUUGUUAUGCGUAUAUUUGACAUCUGCAAUGAGUUGUACAGCCCGUGCUUAAAUGGAGGAGGUGCACAUUUCCUUUGCACACCACAUGAGAACUGUGUGCAAACUAAGCACAAAAGCAUCUCAUUAGUUGAGGCAACUAUUUAAAAACAGGUAUCUAAAAGAUCUCAAAGUACUACACAGUAAAGCAUUAAAAAACAUCGUUCAGUUGCCAAUUGCUGAGCAGAAAGCAAUUUUUUUGUUUGUUUUUUUAAAUUUAAAUUUAAAUCAGACCUCAUGCACACUUCACUUUAGGUUGUGGAACAUGUUUUUAUACACCUAUUUUUUAAGAAACAUUGGACAUACAUAUUUCUAGCUUUCAGCUGGAAUCUUUAUCAGGAAAUCUGUAACUCAGCAUUCCAGGCCAAGAGUCACAAAAAGCAAAACUGCGUAGAGUGGUACAGUAUGCUGUUAGUUGCACUGGAAACAUUAAAAAAUAAUUAAAAAAAAAAAAAACAAAAAAACCAAGCUCCAAUAAAAAGCUCAAUUCAGGAAAAGUAAAAUAAAUGUACUUUUGUGAACUUGAAGGGUGUAAUUCUGUGCUUAUAAUGAUAACAGUAGUUCUUCUGACAACAUAAUCCUCUUUCAAAACUUUGAAUGAAUAACUGCAGCUACUGAAUAAUAGCACCUUUAAACAAAAUCUUAAUUGCAAAACAAAAGAAUAGUAAAGAAAAGCGGUUCUGAUUUUUUUCCCCCAAAGCUUAAAAAAGUUUAGGUCAGAGUUUUGGGUGAAGGUUGUGUUGAUGCUUUUUCCCCUUUUAUCUCAACCAGCUUACUCAGACCUAAUCUUCAACAUCUCAACCACAUGAUUAACACACAAAAUAAUUUCGGAGCAAGCCAGAUCCAAGCAGGAAGCUGCAAGUACUAUCAUGUCUUCAUGAGAUUAGCCAGCAAAAUAACUGUGGUUUCUUCAGGUUUCUUUUUUUAUUUUUAAUUAUUAUGAUUAUUUAUUUUA